rnacentral:rRNA from 1 species
CCCUUAGAUGUCCUGGGCCGCACGCGCGCUACACUGAUGCAUGCAACGAGUUUAUAACCUUGGCCUGAAAGGUCUGGGUAAUCUUUUGAACGUGCAUCGUGAUAGGGGUAGAUUAUUGCAAUUGUUAAUCUUGAACGAGGAAUUCCUAGUAAACGCGAGUCAUCAGCUCGCAUUGAUUACGUCCCUGCCCUUUGUACACACCGCCCGUCGCACCUACCGAUUGAAUGGUUCGGUGAAGAUCUCGGACUUCGAUAUUUAUUCUUUAUUGAGUUUAUAUUGUGGGAAGUUAUCUAAACCUCAUCAUUUAGAGGAAGGUGAAGUCGUAACA